ensembl:ncRNA mir-279 mir-279 stem loop
GGAAUUCAUACUACUGUUUUUAGUGGGUGGGGGUCCAGUGUUUCACAUUGAUUUUCUUAGUAUUUGUGACUAGAUCCACACUCAUUAAUAACGGUAGUUC